rnacentral:lncRNA from 1 species
UGGGGGGUGGAGAGAGGAAGCUUUAUUCUUUCACUUUUUGGAAUAAAUUUUGUUGCUGUUUGUUCUUUGGAUCUACACUACUUUUAUGAGUUGUAACACUCACCGGGAAGGUCUGCAGCUUUGCUCCUGAAGCCAGCGAGACCACGAACCCACCGGGAGGAACGAACAACUCCAGAUGCGUCGACUUAAGAGCUGUAACACUCACUGCGAAAGUCUGCAGCUUUACUCCUGAGCUAGUGAGACCACGAACCCACCAGGAGGAAGAAACUCUGAACACAUCCGAACGUCAGAAAGAAUAAACUCUGGACACGCCGCCUUUAAGAACUGUAACACUUACCGCGAGGGUCUGCGGCUUCAUUCUUGAAGUCAGUGAGACCAAGAACCCACCAAUUCUGGACACAUUUUCGUGGUUUGAUAGCACGUUUCCUUUUAGCACUGAAUAAUGUCUGGCUAUUCCACAGUUUUUCAAAGCAGAUUAAUUAUGCCCUGGCUACCAACUUGCUUGAGUUGGGUGGAACAGAAAAACCCCCCCAAUCAAAUAAGCUACACGCACCAGAUGUAUUACUUACAGAUAGGCAGCAAGGGACAGCGUAGCCUAGGACUCAGCCAGUCCCCCGAGGCUCACAAAAGCUGCCUGGGGUGAAUGGAGUCUUGUCAGUGUGUAUGUCUUGCUUACCUCACUAGCAAACUGCCCUGGGUUUUGUAUCCUAGGGACAACAGGACUUGGUGGGCUAAAAUGUUGAAGGACGUCCUAUUUCUUUCUUGUUUUCUUUUUUUUUAAAGGAUAUUCUAUUUCUAGGAGGGCCUGGAAUAGAGCUCAGGCUGUGCUGUCCAGUCCCUCGUUAUCCCAGGAUGCUGCAUUCCCAGAACAAUCUACGGUUAUUCUUGAAUACUAUAAGUGAGAAAGCGGAGAACUGGGUGGCCCAAGGCCACCCGGAGAACUGUCUGCCAAUCAUCAAUAGAAUUUCAGACCAAUUGUCUUGAAUGCAACAAAGCUGCUAAAUCCUCUCAACUCCCCUGGACCCAGCACUUUGCAUGGGAAGAGAAUGGAACCAGGAUGAUUAUUUCCUGUAGCCAUCCACAUGGCAUCGAAGGAGGAAAGGUGUAACAAGCCAUUUUGUCCAUUUGAAGCAAUUACUCAAACUGCUCCCACCAAGACCAGAAUGUUUCAAUGAUGUCUGUGAGCAGGCACCAGUUAGGAGGUUAUUAUAAUAAUCUGGAACGUAAGGACAAGAACCUGAACUGGAGAGACAGCAGUGAACAGAUAAGAGAAAGCAAGAGACAGAAACAAGGUAUUUUCAUGAAAAAGAGCAAUAUCACUUGGAAACUAAAUAGAGGGAAAGGAGAGAAGGAUUAAUCAAUGCCAAGGCCGUUGUUGGAUGUAAUCAGGUUAUCUCCAGUUGGAUCACCCCAUGGGCAGCUACAACCAACGAAUCUAAAACUUAACAGAUUUAGGCCACCUGUUACAUUCAGUGGUUCUGUCACUCCCUCAGCCAUCUGCAUUUGAAACUUUAGAUGGUCUUUGAUUCUACUCAUAUGUUCUUUCUUUCCUUUUUUUUUCUUUCUUUCUUUUUUUUUUUUUUUUUUUUUUUUUUUUUUUUUUUGAGAUGGAGUCUUGCUCUGUCACCCAGGCAGGAGUGCAGUGGUAUGAUCUUGGCUCACUGCAACCUCUGUCUCCCAGGUUCAAGAGAUUCUCCUGCCUCGGCUUCCCGAGUAGCUGGGACUACAGGUGUGUACCACCACACCCAGCUAAUUUUUGUAUUUUUAGCAGAGACAGGGUUUCACCAUGUUGGCCAGGCUGGUCUUGAACUCCUGACUUCAAAUGAUCCGCCUGCCUUGCAAGUGUUAGGAUUACAGGCGUGAGCCACUGCGCCCGGCCCAUUUGCUCUUUCUUAGUUCCAGUAAAUCACCAAAUCCUACUGAUGUUUCCUUUAAAAAUGUCUCUUAAAAUACACCCCAUUCUUUUAUUUCUAGUGCUCCUACACUGGUUUAGGAUCUCAGAGAUUCUAGCCAGCACUCGUCUUAGUUCUGCCUUCAGCCUUCUCUGCUUCAAUCCAUGCCACACACAGCUGCCACAUAAUCUUGCCAAAACACCACUUUAAACAUGCUACCUCACUUGCC